GGACAAGCGAAUAAGUGCACAUGGUGGAUGCCUUGGCGAUUACAGGCGAUGAAGGACGUAGUAGCUUGCGAUAAGCUGCGGGGAGUGAGCAAACACACUUUGAUCCGCAGAUUUCCGAAUGGGGAAACCCGGCCUUAUAGGUCAUUGCAUACUGAAUACAUAGGUAUGCAAAGCGAACGCGGCGAACUGAAACAUCUAAGUAGCUGCAGGAAAAGAAAUCAACCGAGAUUCCCAAAGUAGUGGCGAGCGAAAUGGGAUGAGCCUGUACGUGAUAGUCGAACUGAUAGCAGAGUCCUCUGGAAAUAGGAACCAUAGUGGGUGAUAGUCCCGUAUGCGAAAUCAGAUCGGUGGUACUAAGCGUACGACAAGUAGGGCGGGACACGAGAAAUCCUGUCUGAACAUGGGGGGACCAUCCUCCAAGGCUAAAUACUCGUAAUCGACCGAUAGUGAACCAGUACCGUGAGGGAAAGGCGAAAAGAACCCCGGGAGGGGAGUGAAAUAGAUCCUGAAACCGUGUGCAUACAAACAGUCGGAGCCUCUUCGUGGGGUGACGGCGUACCUUUUGUAUAAUGGGUCAGCGACUUACAUUCAGUGGCGAGGUUAACCGAAUAGGGGAGCCGUAGAGAAAUCGAGUCCGAACAGGGCGACAGUCGCUGGGUGUAGACCCGAAACCAGGUGAUCUACCCAUGGCCAGGAUGAAGGUGCGGUAACACGCCCUGGAGGUCCGAACCCACUAAUGUUGAAAAAUUAGGGGAUGAGCUGUGGGUAGGGGUGAAAGGCUAAACAAACCUGGAAAUAGCUGGUUCUCUCCGAAAACUAUUUAGGUAGUGCCUCAAGUAUCACCAUCGGGGGUAGAGCACUGUUAUGGCUAGGGGCUCAUUGCGAGUUACCAAACCAUUGCAAACUCCGAAUACCGAUGAGUGCGAGCUUGGGAGACAGACGUCGGGUGCUAACGUCCGGCGUCAAGAGGGAAACAACCCAGACCGCCAGCUAAGGUCCCAAAGAUUGGCUAAGUGGAAAACGAAGUGGGAAGGCUAAAACAGUCAGGAUGUUGGCUUAGAAGCAGCCACCAUUUAAAGAAAGCGUAAUAGCUCACUGAUCGAGUCGUCCUGCGCGGAAGAUGUAACGGGGCUAAGCCAGUCACCGAAGCUGCGGAUAUAUUUCUCGUGAUUUAUCACUUGAUCUAUAUGGUAGGAGAGCGUUCUGUAAGCCUGCGAAGGUGUCUUGUGAAGGAUGCUGGAGGUAUCAGAAGUGCGAAUGCUGACAUGAGUAGCGAUAAUGCGGGUGAAAAGCCCGCACGCCGUAAGCCCAAGGUUUCCUGUUCAACGUUCAUCGGAGCAGGGUGAGUCGGCCCCUAAGGCGAGGCAGAGAUGCGUAGCUGAUGGGAAGCAGGUUAAUAUUCCUGCACCGUCGUAUGAUGCGAUGGGGGGACGGAUCGCGGAAGGUUGUCUAGCUGUUGGAAUAGCUAGUUUUUGACUCAUAGAAGGUGCUUAGGCAAAUCCGGGCACGGAAUUCAAGGGGUCGAGACGAGUGGCUUUAUGCCGCGAAGCAAUCGGAAGUGGUUCCAAGAAAAGCCUCUAAGCUUCAGUCAUACGAGACCGUACCGCAAACCGACACAGGUGGGCGAGAUGAGUAUUCUAAGGCGCUUGAGAGAACUCGGGAGAAGGAACUCGGCAAAUUGGUACCGUAACUUCGGGAUAAGGUACGCCCCGGUAGCUUGACCACUUUACUGUGGAAGGGUGAAAGGGUUGCAAUAAACUGGUGGCUGCGACUGUUUAAUAAAAACACAGCACUCUGCAAACACGAAAGUGGACGUAUAGGGUGUGACGCCUGCCCGGUGCUGGAAGAUUAAAUGAUGGGGUGCAAGCUCUUGAUUGAAGUCCCAGUAAACGGCGGCCGUAACUAUAACGGUCCUAAGGUAGCGAAAUUCCUUGUCGGGUAAGUUCCGACCUGCACGAAUGGCGUAACGAUGGCCACACUGUCUCCUCCCGAGACUCAGCGAAGUUGAAAUGUUUGUGAUGAUGCAAUCUACCCGCGGCUAGACGGAAAGACCCCAUGAACCUUUACUGUAGCUUUGCAUUGGACUUUGAACCAAUCUGUGUAGGAUAGGUGGGAGGCUUUGAAACCGGGACGCCAGUUCCGGUGGAGCCAACCUUGAAAUACCACCCUGGUUCGUUUGAGGUUCUAACCUUGGUCCGUUAUCCGGAUCGGGGACAGUGCAUGGUAGGCAGUUUGACUGGGGCGGUCUCCUCCUAAAGUGUAACGGAGGAGUUCGAAGGUACGCUAGGUACGGUCGGACAUCGUGCUAAUAGUGCAAUGGCAUAAGCGUGCUUAACUGCGAGACCGACAAGUCGAGCAGGUACGAAAGUAGGACAUAGUGAUCCGGUGGUUCUGUAUGGAAGGGCCAUCGCUCAACGGAUAAAAGGUACUCUGGGGAUAACAGGCUGAUUCCUCCCAAGAGUUCAUAUCGACGGGGGAGUUUGGCACCUCGAUGUCGGCUCAUCACAUCCUGGGGCUGUAGCCGGUCCCAAGGGUAUGGCUGUUCGCCAUUUAAAGUGGUACGUGAGCUGGGUUUAAAACGUCGUGAGACAGUUUGGUCCCUAUCUGCCGUGGGCGUUGGAAAUUUGAAGGGGGCUGCUCCUAGUACGAGAGGACCGGAGUGGACGAACCUCUGGUGUACCGGUUGUCACGCCAGUGGCAUUGCCGGGUAGCUAAGUUCGGAAGAGAUAACCGCUGAAAGCAUCUAAGCGGGAAACUUGCCUUGAGAUGAGAUUUCCCGGAGCCUUGAGCUCCUUGAAGGGUCGUUCGAGACCAGGACGUUGAUAGGCUGGGUGUGGAAGUGCAGUAAUGCAUUAAGCUAACCAGUACUAAUUGCCCGUACGGCUUGUCCCU
rnacentral:rRNA from 1 species